ensembl:snRNA Gm22911 predicted gene, 22911
GUGCUAGCUUCAGCAGCAUAUAUACUAAAAUUGGAACGAUACAGAGAAGAUUAGCAUGGCCCCUGUGCAAGGAUGACAUGCAAAUUCGUGAAGCAUUCCAUAUUUUU